rnacentral:rRNA from 1 species
AGUGAACGCUGGCGGUAGGCCUAACACAUGCAAGUCGAACGGCAGCACAGUAAGAGCUUGCUCUUACGGGUGGCGAGUGGCGGACGGGUGAGGAAUACAUCGGAAUCUACUUUUUCGUGGGGGAUAACGUAGGGAAACUUACGCUAAUACCGCAUACGACCUACGGGUGAAAGCAGGGGAUCUUCGGACCUUACGCGAUUGAAUGAGCCGAUGUCGUAUUAGCUAGUUGGCGGGGUAAAGGCCCACCAAGGCGACGAUCCGUAGCUGGUCUGAGAGGAUGAUCAGCCACACUGGAACUGAGACACGGUCCAGACUCCUACGGGAGGCAGCAGUGGGGAAUAUUGGACAAUGGGCGCAAGCCUGAUCCAGCCAUACCGCGUGGGUGAAGAAGGCCUUCGGGUUGUAAAGCCCUUUUGUUGGGAAAGAAAAGCAGCAGGUUAAUACCCCGCUGUUCUGACGGUACCCAAAGAAUAAGCACCGGCUAACUUCGUG